CCUACGUGAGGCAGCAGUAGGGAAUCUUCCACAAUGGGCGAAAGCCUGAUGGAGCAACGCCGCGUGGGUGAAGAAGGUCUUCGGAUCGUAAAACCCUGUUGUUAGAGAAGAAAGUGCGUGAGAGUAACUGUUCACGUUUCGACGGUAUCUAACCAGAAAGCCACGGCUAACUACGUGCCAGCAGCCGCGGUAAUACGUAGGUGGCAAGCGUUAUCCGGAUUUAUUGGGCGUAAAGGGAACGCAGGCGGUCUUUUAAGUCUGAUGUGAAAGCCUUCGGCUUAACCGGAGUAGUGCAUUGGAAACUGGUAGACUUGAGUGCAGAAGAGGAGAGUGGAACUCCAUGUGUAGCGGUGAAAUGCGUAGAUAUAUGGAAGAACACCAGUGGCGAAAGCGGCUCUCUGGUCUGUAACUGACGCUGAGGUUCGAAAGCGUGGGUAGCAAACAGGAUUAGAUACCCCAGUAGUC
rnacentral:rRNA from 1 species